GUGCCCUUUAAUUUCUGUAUCAGAAUUGUCACUUUCAUUUACUUUUCAUUUACUGUACUUUAACAAAGCAUUUUUUUAACAACACUGUGUAAAAGCAAUUUGCAUAACAGCCUGGGAAACAUGCAAAGCCACAUGCAGCAGCUACUGUGGUAAACAAAAGCUGUGGCUGGCUAUUUCUCAGCCACUGACCAAAUGUAAUACAAUUUACUCAGAAUUAGUAUGACCUGUUUUUCACAGGAUGUUGGAGGUGCAAAAAGAAAGAAAUGAGUACAACUUGUGAUUAUUGGCCAGGUGGUUACAAAUGGUGAUGCAUGAAGCUACCCCCCAGCUGUUAAUAAGACAAAUUUGUCUAGAACAAUAUUUCAUUCAUUGUCUCAGACUAAGGUCAAGACCUUACAACAGUACCAGUCACUUGGUGACAGUGGAGAUGAAAAACUCCCUUUUAACAGGAAGAAACCUCCAACAGAACAAGGCUCAGAGUGAACGGGUGUCUGCCUUGUCUGUCUGGGUUUAGAAGAGAGAAAUGGGGGAGAGAGGAGGCAGAGGGUAGAGAUGGGGAGAGAAAAGAAAGAGAGACUAAGAACAGCUGUAUGUACUGUUGUAUUCAAGCAGUGUCAGAUUGGCUGGUAUAAUAACAAUAACAGGCUUUGGUAGCUUAGAUAUAAACUUUCUGUCUGCUCCAACCAGUCUGGCUGUUCUGGCCUCUCCCAUUAACAUGGAUGUUUUUUCUUUGUAUCUGUAAGAGUUUAUGUGCUGCAGUGCUGCCACAUGAUUGGCUGAUUUGGAUAAGUGCAUGAAUAAGCAGGUUGGUGAGCGCAUAUCUCAUAUUUGAUUUAUUUAUUUAAUAAUUCAAUUCUAAAACAACAUUCUAUGUGUAGAUGCAACUCCAUUUUUUUGUGUUUUUCUUAUUGUAUGACUAUGGAUUUAGUGUGACAUGUUCAUAUCUCCUAUUUAGUGCGAAUAAUAACUUAAUAUAUAGAUCAUUUUUCAGUCUAGAAGCACUUCCCAGUGAGGGCUACAAUGACAUGCAGUAAUAAAUCGCAAGUGUAAGCGUGUGUGUGUGUGUGCACGCUUUGUUUGUGCAUGCAGUAAUUCAGUAAUCCACCAAAAGAUGGCACCAGUGUAACGAGAGAAAGGAGACAGUGUGUUUUAUCAACAAAAAGGAAUCAUAGGUAUCACAGUUGGAAGGCCAGACAGUAACAGUAGGGGAGAUAAAGAACCUAAUGAAUAUAAACUGGCCAUUGUGUUUAAUGACAAUGGAGCAACAUUUUAAAGCAAAAUUUAAAAAUGACAACACUUUGGCCUUUAUCCAACAAGACUGCAACGUGAAUUCCCUUCCCACUGUGCUGUUGGUCUAAGGAGUCAAAGUUCAAAAUGAAUUCUAUAAAUAAUUCAGCAGUUCACUGAGCCUUGUGACUGUCACUGUGUUCGUGAUACAGGACUAGACAAGAGCAAAGAAGAAAAAAGAGUUGACCAUUCAACUUAACACUUA